UACGUAGGGGGCUAGCGUUGUCCGGAAUCAUUGGGCGUAAAGAGCGUGUAGGCGGCCAGGUAGGUCGGUUGUGAAAACUGGAGGCUCAACCUUCAGACGUCGACCGAAACCAUCUGGCUAGAGUCCGGGAGAGGAGAGUGGAAUUCCUGGUGUAGCGGUGAAAUGCGCAGAUAUCGGGAAGAACACCCGUGGCGAAGGCGGCUCUCUGGAACGCAACUGACGCUGAGACGCGAAAGCGUGGGGAGCAAACAGG
rnacentral:rRNA from 1 species